AGUUCAAGGGUUUGUUCACCGGCGCUCGAGCUGCGGAUCGCGGGCCGCCUCCGGGCAAGGCGCUGCACGGGAGGAGUCCUGCGAGCGGACCCGGCGCGGCGGGGAGCGGGGCCCGGGAAGUUGGCGCGCACCCCGGGCCCGAGCGCCGGCCGCCGCCCCUGCGAGGAUGGGAAGCCUCGGGGGCGGCCCCGGGCAGGUGAGGCGUCACCUGGGGCCGCACGUCCGCAGGGAGCGCGGAGCCCCCGGGCGGAGGAGCGCGCGCGGGCAGGGCCGGGGGGGGGGGGGCGCGUGCCCGGGGCGCGAGGGGCGCUCUCCGCGGACCCGGGGUCCCGCCGCCCCGGGCGCCCGCACCUGCCCGCACCUGCCCGCGGCCCAUCGCGGGGCAUCGCGGGGCAUCGCGGGGAGGGGGCGCGCAUCCCGCUCCCGCCGGGCGCGCACUCCGGGCUCCGGGCUCCGGGCGAGGUCUCCGCUCCGCGAGGCCAAGGGGGCGCUCGCGCCGGGCGGGCGGGCGGGCGGCGAGGCUCGGCGGGCGGGUCCCGGGCUGAGCGCGGCGGCCGCCCGCCUCCCCAGCGCGCCCGCCGCCCGCCCGGCCGGCCCGGGAAAGGAAGGACGGCGACCUCCGCGUCCGGUCUGAGCCGCCAGCGCGCGUCGGCGCCGAGCGGGGGCCACACCCAGCGCCCCGGGAGGCGGCGGGGGCUGGGCGGCCCGGCGGCGGCGGAACGCGGGGCCCCGGCCGAGCCUCCGUCCCGGCCGCCCAGGCCCCGCCGCGGCCCCGCGGCCCCGCGGCCCCGCAGCCCCGCAGCCCGGCCCGGGCCCGGCGCGCGGGGACGAGGACGAGGACGAGGACGAGGACGAGGACGAGGACGAGGAGCAGGAGGAGGGGGACGAGGAGGGGGACGAGGCGGGGGCGAGGAGCGCGGGGGACCGGCUUACCUCCGCGCCGAGCGCCGGCCGCUCUGUCCCGGGCCGGCGGGGCGGCCCCUGCGGGCGGAGGGCGGGCCCGCGGCGAGCGGAGCUGGCCCGGGGCUGCGGGCGCUCGCGGCGGAGGGCGCAGCCGCCUCGGCCCCCGGGCUGGACGCCGGCCCCGACUCAACUCCGGCGCGGCCCGCUCCACGCAGGGACGCUCCCGCCCCUCGCGGCUGCCCCCGCCCGCCGGCCGCCGGCCAGCCCGCCCCUCGGUGUCACUCACCCGGGCGCGCACACCCGAGCCGGCGCCCCCCGCUCCCGCCCGCACACUCGGAGCCGCUCCCGCCCCUCGGGUUCUGCAUCGGCUCGCACGCACGCUCUGACACGGAUGCCUUCCCUCCCCACGCCCGCCCCAGCUCCUUCUCCCACCCCACUUUCUAG
rnacentral:lncRNA from 1 species